AUCAACGCUGGCGGCGCGCUUAACACAUGCCAGUCGCACGAGAAAGGGAGCAAUCCUGAGUAAAGUGGCGUACGGGUGAGUAACACGUGGGAAUCUACCUCUUGGCGGGGAAUAACCCUGGGAAACCGGGGCUAAUACCGCAUAAGCUCGUGAGAGGAAAGCAGCAAUGCACCGAGAGAGGAGCCCGCGGCCGAUUAGCUAGUUGGUGGGGUAAUGGCUCACCAAGGCGAAGAUCGGUAGCCGGCCUGAGAGGGCACACGGCCACACUGGCACUGAAACACGGGCCAGACUCCUACGGGAGGCAGCAGUGGGGAAUCUUGCACAAUGGGGGAAACCCUGAUGCAGCGACGCCGCGUGAGCGAUGAAGCCCUUCGGGGUGUAAAGCUCUUUCGACAGGAACGAUAAUGACGGUACCUGGAGAAGAAGCUGCGGCUAACUACGUG
rnacentral:rRNA from 1 species